GGAAGAGACGCGAUUCCGGUGGAUCGGCCGGCCUUCAAAGCCGGUUGGGACUGCUCAGCGGUCCCGGGUAGGUUCGACUCCUGCUCUCUUCCGCCA
rnacentral:tRNA from 1 species